rnacentral:rRNA from 1 species
UAACAAGGUUUCCGUAGGUGAACUGCGGAAGGAUCAUUACAGAGUUCAUGCCCGAAAGGGUAGACCUCCCACCCUUGUGUAUUAUUACUUUGUUGCUUUGGCGAGCUGCUCUUCGGGGCCUUGUAUGCUCGCCAGAGAAUAUCAAAACUCUUUUUAUUAAUGUCGUCUGAGUACUAUAUAAUAGUUAAAACUUUCAACAACGGAUCUCUUGGUUCUGGCAUCGAUGAAGAACGCAGCGAAAUGCGAUAAGUAAUGUGAAUUGCAGAAUUCAGUGAAUCAUCGAAUCUUUGAACGCACAUUGCGCCCCUUGGUAUUCCGGGGGGCAUGCCUGUUCGAGCGUCAUUUCAACCCUCAAGCUCAGCUUGGUAUUGAGUCCAUGUCAGUAAUGGCAGGCUCUAAAAUCAGUGGCGGCGCCCUGGGUCCUGAACGUAGUAAUAUCUCUCGUUACAGGUUCUCGGUGUGCUUCUGCCAAAACCCAAAUUUUCUAUGGUUGACCUCGGAUCAGGUAGGGAUACCCGCUGAACUUAAGCAUAU